rnacentral:rRNA from 1 species
AUGCUUAACACAUGCAAGUCGAACGGCAGCAGCUCUGCUUGCAGAGGCUGGCGAGUGGCGAACGGGUGAGUAACACGUAGGAAUCUGCCCUAGAGUGGGGGACAACUCCGCGAAAGCGGAGCUAAUACCGCAUAUCUCUUCGGAGUAAAGCAGGGGAUCUUCGGACCUUGCGCUUUAGGAUGAGCCUGCGUCAGAUUAGCUUGUUGGUGAGGUAACGGCUCACCAAGGCGACGAUCUGUAGCUGGUCUGAGAGGACGAUCAGCCACAUUGGGACUGAGACACGGCCCAAACUCCUACGGGAGGCAGCAGUGGGGAAUAUUGGACAAUGGGCGCAAGCCUGAUCCAGCAAUGCCGCGUGUGUGAAGAAGGCCUGCGGGUUGUAAAGCACUUUCAGUAGGGAGGAAAUGCUCAAGGUUAAUACCCUUGAGAGUUGACGUUACCUACAGAAGAAGCACCGGCUAACUCUGUG